CGUCGUAGCCCUUCUCUCCUCCUUUCCUCCGCCAUCACGCGCUGUGUGUCAAACUCGGCUUCUCGCUAUGUCUUCUCACAAGACUUUCAGAAUCAAGCGGUUCCUGGCCAAGAAACAAAAGCAAAACCGGCCGAUUCCUCAAUGGAUCCGGAUGAAAACUGGUAACAAGAUCAGGUACAACUCCAAGAGAAGACACUGGAGGAGAACGAAGCUGGGACUGUAAGGAUUCAGAGUGGCGAGACUGACGCUUUAGACUGAAUCAAUUCUACCAGAUGGAGUUCAGCAUUUUUAACCCCGGGGGGACUUAGUCCUGUCUAAAUUGGGGGUGUGGCUUGUCCAGUAAUAAAAUGUAGACCGUUUCAAGCCA